CAACCUUUGCAUGACUUCAAUUUAGCAUGUUAGCAUGUUAACAUUUUGGUGAUUUGCACUAACACACUGGUGGUACAAUUAAUCCGGAACCAGUUUUAAGGACUAAUAGUAACUCUGUAAAUCGGGUUGACUGCUUAUGUCACCACUUCCCUUGACCUUCCAAAUGUUCCAGUCCUCUCUGUUUAUUCAACGCUAGCCUCUCUGAGCCAGAUGUGUGUCAGAGGUAACCACAAGCGAGGCUCCAAACAUUAUUUUUAUACAAAAGGCAAAUGAUGCAGCGAUCAAUAAAAAAAACCUCAUUAUACUUAAUCCGACCUUCAAUCCCAAUAAUUUAAAUCUUGUGUCAGUUUAAUGUGCCAUGACGUUGGAGCUGGUUUUAAAUCGUUUUACUGCCUAACACACACAAACACACAGUCACAUACACACACACACACACACACAGGAAAAUACAUGACGCCAACUCCCUGUCUGUCUGUCUAAUACCAUCAGAGCUUUUACUGGAAUGAAAAACAGACCACAAAUCAUCCAGUCUCUUCCCCUGACCCAGGAAUGAAAAUGCUUAGACUUCCAGGCCGUCGAAUAUCCCAUAAAUCAUUCAUUGUGAAAAUGAGAUGACCUCUCUAGCACGGUGGAUAAACAGGACAGGCGUGGGCUAGCUGAGACGGGUGAGGACAUCUGUCCCCUGGCGAAGAAAUUGAAAAGCUACUGCACUGCGGAGGAAACUUGAACUGCGCCCGGCUCCCCGUGAAUAUAACUCACACAUAACUCGUUCCCGGCCCACGCAGGGAACCACAUGCAUCGCACAAACACUGUCCAAAAAAAAAGAAAAGUCCCAUUUCCAUGCCAUGGCGUGUUCUCUUCAGCAGCAUCUUUAAAGUCCCCCAUGCAUCAGCCGGUUUGUACAACGACAGCUGUCAGUUCUUGUGUUAACAUAUCAGUAUUUGCAGAAAAUGGAAAUGAUUCCAAUUUUCGAGACUUGAUGUGGCAGAAUUUGAAUUUGUUUCCCUGUAGAGAGAAUAUUUUCCCAUUUGUUUUGCCCCAUGUUUUGUCAUUGCUCCCCCCUGUAUGUAAGAUGAGUAAAAAGUCAAUUUGCUUACACGUUUUCCUUAUCAAUUUAAAAUGCCGUCAAUGUGUUUUUUACAGCUUGUUUCUUUGAGUGGCUCAAAAAUCUAUAAAAAAUAUAUAUAUAUAGUUUAUCCCAUAAUGGCUUGUUGCUAAGUACAGGAGAAGUAAGAUUAACCACUGCAUCCUGAGUAAGAGAAAAAUUCUUAAACUUACAUUCACCAAUGUUCAUAUUUACAUUGAUUAUUAUAAGAGGACCCUUCACACUGAUAAACAAAUAAAACCCAACAGCACUUGUAUGGAAAUUUGAUCAAGUUCUAACUAUCCUGUCUGUCUGGCGAUAUUUACAUAUACAAGGAAUGAAAUGACACUAACCUCCGACAAAUAACAGCCAACCGAGCAGCCGUAUGUAGACGUUAACUGGUUUAUGCCAUCACUGAACAGCUACCCCUUUCAUCUGCACGCAACCCGUAUGAAACCACCACAACCAACACAAAAUAGCAAUGAAGAGUAAAUCAGAAGGCUAAAGGACACAAUAAAAUGAAUGAGUGCAAGAUAUAAUUUGUCUGAAAACAUGAUGGAAAUUCACGAGUGAGAGUAUGAUACAGUAUGUAUUUUUAUCGGCAUGUACAUUCUGUCGCCGCCAUGCUUUUCCUCUGGUGGCAAAUCAAAUAUUUAAUCAUUGUGUACAAGAUGCUUUUUCUGUUGGAGUCUGCCAUCUGGUGGAACACAUACACAAUAUCAUCAAGACGUCCUGGAAACCGUUGAAAAAUAUGUGUAAUUUAUUGCUGUAUAUAACCAUGCGGUGAUCUAAUUGGGGUGUUUUUUAAUCAGUUGUAUUCUAUUCAUGGGCUGAAUGUUACAUUCAUUUUGUAUUUCUGUGAGGUUAAAUUAUAUGACCUGUAAUGUCUGCAUCAUAGUUCAGCAUGAAGCUACUAUGGUUUUCAAUAGUCUUUGAAAAAUCAAGGGUAUUAGUAAACCAGGGAUAUUUAUAUCUAUAUAUUUACGUAAGGGUGUAGGUGUCAUAUUUAUUUGAUAUUGACCUUGUUGGGUAUAGCAACAAUAUACUGUAGAAGUAUGUAGACGCAAAGCAAUAUUACGAAAAGUAGUAUACAUCCCUUUUAUAAAAAUUUCAUUUUUACAAACUAUAUAUUUCAUGACUGAAUUCCUUCUAAAUGAGAUAUUUCCGAUUAGGUAUGCGGAUAGCGUGCA
ensembl:lncRNA